rnacentral:rRNA from 1 species
CAGCAGCCGCGGUAAUACGUAGGGUGCAAGCGUUAAUCGGAAUUACUGGGCGUAAAGCGUGCGCAGGCGGUUCGGAAAGAAAGGUGUGAAAUCCCAGGGCUUAACCUUGGAACUGCACUUUUAACUACCGGGCUAGAGUACGUCAGAGGGGGGUAGAAUUCCACGUGUAGCAGUGAAAUGCGUAGAGAUGUGGAGGAAUACCGAUGGCGAAGGCAGCCCCCUGGGAUGAUACUGACGCUCAUGCACGAAAGCGUGGGGAGCAAACAGGAUUAGAUACCCUGGUAGUCCACGCCCUAAACGAUGUCAACUAGCUGUUGGGGUUUAUUAACCUUAGUAGCGCAGCUAACGCGUGAAGUUGACCGCCUGGGGAGUACGGUCGCAAGAUUAAAACUCAAAGGAAUUGAC